AUGUCAUCACUCGAUUCUCUUGAAUUAGGCCAGAAUAACCUUACUGGACAAGUACCAUCUUGCAUCGGAAACACGAACCUUGGAGUGCUGUCCAUGUCGGGUAACAAAUUCGAGGGAUUAAUUCCAUCAUCACUAGAAAAUGCAUCGAACCUCCAAGAGAUUAAUCUUGGAUACAACUUACUAAAUGGACGAAUCCCAUCUCUAGGAAAUUUACUUCACUUACAGCUACUAAUUCUUGAAAAUAACUUCCUAGAAGCUGAAGGUUGGGAAUUCCUUGCCUCUCUCGCAAAUUGUUCGCUGUUAGAAACGUUGGAAAUGAAUGGGAAUGUCCUGAAUGGAAGUCUCCCUAGGUCUGUUGGGAAUCUUUCUGCAAGUUUACAACGUAUAAAUGUUGGAAACAAUCAAAUUGUCGGCACAAUACCGAUUGAGAUUUUUAACCUUGCAAGUCUCCAAAUGCUUGCUAUGGACCAAAACUUGCUUUCAGGGGUUAUUCCUUCUGUUGUCGGGAACCUAGAUCAGCUAGUUGUCCUAACCCUAUCAGGGAACAAAUUUUCUGGCCAGAUCCCACAUACAAUAGGUAAUCUUUCUCGACUGAGCAAGCUUUCUCUAGACAACAACAACUUGAGUGGGAACAUCCCAGCAAGUUUAGGAAAUUGCAAGCAACUGGCUGUGUUAAACUUAUCUUUUAACAGACUUCAAGGACCAAUACCAAGUGAACUGACCAGUAGCACUACCCUCCUCAGUUUUGAUUUAUCAAACAACAACCUUACAGGAUCAAUACUGGUACAAAUUGGUGCUUUGCUUCAACUUCUCCAACUUGAUAUUUCCUUCAACAAAUUGUCUGGUCAAGUUCCAUAUUCACUUGGCCGAUGCGUCCAACUAUCUUCUCUCAGAUUGAAAAGUAACAUGCUUAAUGGAAGCAUACCUGAGUCUUUCAGUGACCUGAAGUCCGUAGAUCAGAUCGAUCUUUCCAAAAAUGACCUUGCUGGACGAAUUCCAGAGUUCUUUGCAAACAUGCAGUUUUUGCAUCAACUUGAUCUGUCUACCAACUACUUUGAAGGGCCGAUUCCAACCGGUGGCAUCUUUCAGAAUCAUACUGCAGCAAUCUUGGAUGGCAAAGCGGGGUUGUGUGCAAGUGCACCCGCUACCUUGCAUCAGUUCCCAGUUUGUACUGUUAAGAGCAAGAAGAAAGCACUCUUAUUGGUAAAAUUAAUUCCUCCAACUGCUAUUGCGUUGAUCUCUUUCAUAUGCUUUGUGGUCACUAUUCUGAAGAGAAGGCAAGCACAAGCAGCACCAUGCUACAAGGAGACAAUGAAGAGGGUUUCAUAUGGUGACAUCGUUAAAGCUACCAAUUGGUUCUCUCCAGUUAACAAGAUCAGCUCAGGCCGAACCGGUUCGAUCUACAUUGGAAGGUUUCAGUUUAACACGGAUCUGGUCGCCGUUAAGUUAUUCCAUCUCGAGGAGAAUGGUGCGCGCGACAGCUUCGUUACCGAGUGCGAGGUGCUGCGAAAUACCCGCCAUCGCAAUCUUGUCAAAGCUGUCACUGUAUGCUCGACAAUGGACCUAGAGAACAAUGAAUUCAAAGCUAUAGUUUUCGACUUCAUGGCCAACGGAAGCCUGGACAUGUGGGUCCAUCCGAAGCUACAUCACAAUAGCCCCAAGAGAGUACUGAGCUUGGGCCAGAGGUUAAGAAUAGCGAUGGACGUCGCGUUGGCUCUGGAUUAUAUGCACAACCAGUUGACGCCUCCUCUAGUCCACUGUGAUUUGAAGCCAGGCAAUGUUCUUUUGGACUACGACAUGACCGCGAGAGUUGGUGAUUUUGGGUCAGCGAGGUUUCUCUCUUCAGUUCCUGGUAGCCCAGAAGACUUGGUUGGUGUGGAAGGAACAAUUGGAUACAUCGCACCUGAGUAUUGUAUGGGAUACAAAGUCUCGCCAGGAUGUGAUGUAUAUGCUUUUGGAAUCCUCAUUCUAGAAAUGCUCACAGGAAGGCGACCGAUGGAUGCAAUAUUCACAGAUGGCCUGAGCCUGCACAAGCUUGUGAGCUCAGCAUUUCCAGGAAGACUUGGAGAGGUUUUAGAUCCCCAUUUGUCCCACGGUUACAGGCAUCCAUGUGACAGAGUGUUUAUGAGGAGAUAUAUGGUACCCUUGAUUGAAGUUGGCCUCCUGUGUUCCAUGGAAUCGCCUAAAGAUCGUCCAGGAAUGGGAGAAGUUUGUGCCAGAAUUUUGUCUCUCAAAGAGGAAUUCUUUGAGUUCUGCUGA
rnacentral:rRNA from 1 species